rfam:Ricinus communis cultivar Hale ctg_1100012351127, whole genome shotgun sequence.
AAACUACGAUUAGGAUGCCUCCUUUGUAACUUUUUAAUAUUUUCCAAGCUUCAUAAAGUGACUCAUCAUUCUUUUGGUAAAAACUAGCGAUUUGUUGUAUGAUUUU